rnacentral:rRNA from 1 species
UACGAAGGGGGCUAGCGUUGUUCGGAAUUACUGGGCGUAAAGCGCGUGUAGGCGGGUCUUUAAGUCAGGGGUGAAAUGCCAGGGCUCAACCUUGGAACUGCCUUUGAUACUGGAGACCUUGAGUCCGGGGAGAGGUGAGUGGAAUUGCGAGUGUAGAGGUGAAAUUCGUAGAUAUUCGCAAGAAACACCAGUGGCGAAGGCGGCUCACUGGC